rnacentral:lncRNA from 1 species
GACAGCAGGUCAGAUUUGGCCCACAGGUUGUGGUUUACUAACCCUUAAUUCUAAUGCAUCAGAAAAGGCCCACUUCCUGUUUUCAGUGGGAGUAAAUGUAGAUCUUGCGUGGGCACUUUGGGUCUCUUUAUAGCCAGGGGAGAUGCGGUGACACACACACAGGUCCAUCCAACACAUGGCCACUGUUUGUACAUCAGGGUGGGAGGGGUGCUGUCUCCAGGCUGCCACGGUACCUGAAGAUACACUUUUAGGAAUGUUGCUGCCUCUAGAUAAGAGAAAGGUGCUUACUGUCAGGGACAUGAAGCUGAGUUAUCUUUCUGAGUCCUGCACCCACCAUGACACUAGUGCAUUUUAGGUCAAGCUGAGAGACCAUAUAUUAGUGUGAACCUGGGAGAAAGACAGUAGCCAGGAAAGAUCACGAGCGGUCAAGGAAAGGAUUUCUAAUGUUAGCUCUUGAAUGUUUUCAUUUUUUUUAGUGUAUUUAUCAGGCUCUUUCACACACACAUUAGUUGACUUAUUCCUUAAAACCCCAUACAGUAUCAUUGACUUUGCCAAGGAGACUACAGUCUGGAGAGCUGUAGGGUUUGCUUCUGGUCCCAUGGCCUUCACUUGGCAGGGCCAAGACUCAGGUACAGGGAUUUUAUCCAAAGUUUAUUUGUUCUUUCAUUCAGCAAACCAGUUUGGAGGGCACCAAAGGUCAGGCGAUGUGCUGGGCAGGAGAAAUUUGAAGGUGAAUAAGACCUGGUUCUUGUCCUGUGGGGAUGCCAUGUAGCUGGGUUUCUCGAGCCUGCGGUCACAUCACCUUCCCUGGCAGUUCUCUACAGUGACAGUUCUUAGGCCCAGUUUCCAGGCUACAUCUGGAUCUGCAGUCGGGGCAAACACCCUAUGGGACAAACACCUUAGGCUGAGCACCCUCCUUCACCUGACCAUCCAACAGGUUCCUUCUGGUGUGAGCCAAAGCUCUGGCUCUCCUGGCCCCGCCCUUCCUCAAGGCCCCGCCCUUCAAGGCCCCGCCCAUUUUCCUGGCCCUGCAGCAGAGGCUCCGCCUGCAGUCUUCUGGUUGGCUCUGCCAUCUCCAUCCUAGGGGUGAGCUGCGGGGUGGUGGGUGGGGAGACACGCCCCUUUGCCUGGCCGCACAGCUCAGAGCCUAGGUGAGGCGUUUUUCUUUUUAGACAGAGGGCUUCUGCCUCAUUUUCGUUUUUUUAAAAACCUCCGUUAGCUGUGGUUUUUCUUUAAUACUUAGAUUUUAAUCGUUGAUUACUUCAAAUGGGCUUUGGAAUUAUUUAUUUUGCUUUUGAUGACUCUGUCUUCUGAUCUAAAGUAUUAAAUCCCUUGCUGUUUCGGGAUUUACAGCCUGGCUACUCUAAGUUCACAAAGCUUUUUCAUUAAAGGCUUCUCUCCUCUGCCAAUAUUUAUUGCUAGAGUCACUGUUUGCCCAGAAGCUAAUGUCUGCUGCAUCUUCUGGGAAAUGAAAUUUAUGUCUCCUGGCACUGAUGGGAGGGGUGACAUCACUGAAGUACUAAUUACAUCACCAAGGGGCAUAAACCUUGAGCUCAAGCCUCCAAUGGAUGGCAAAGGUGGGGAGUGGGAUCAAACAGUGGGUUUACAUAAACAAAUGGGUCUACCUCCCCCCCACCAUUCCUCUCACCACUUGUAUUGACAGUAUCAUUAUGCAAUUGAUGAGUAUCAACAUUGACACCCCUUCUUAGAACAAGUAUGGGGGGGCUGGGGAGGGUGGUGUGGAGGGAUGGGCAGGAGUGGGAUGCCCAGGUUUCAUGCGGAGGGUGUCUGCUCAAAGAGUAACAACCGUGCCUUCCCUUUGCAGCAAGUCACCCUCGUACAAACCAUGUAACAUAAGAUUUGCUAUCCUCCACUGACAGGUGAGCUAACUAAGGGACAGGGACUCAGUUUUGCGAGCCCCUAGAUGAAGUAGGGUUUGAGCCCAGCUUUUCUGACCCAAGGCUCUGUCCUCUGCACCCAUGAUCUCCUGGUUGGCGGCAUGUGCCUCGAUAAGGGUAGGUGGGGCUCUCAGCCCCAGCCUCUCUCCAUCUGUCCUAGCUGAAAGUUAUCUCCAGUCUCCAAGGCAAGCUGGCCCAGGAGAGAGAGAGACAGAAAAUGCUUGGGCAGUGGUUUGCUGGGGACAUGUAUCCUGCGCCCACUCUCUUCUCUCAUUCCCUAUUUAGCCAGUUUUCUCCCAGUGCGUCAUGUCUAUUUUCUCCAAGAAACGUUGGUGCCGUCUCCACUUUCUCACCUCCCAUUCGGUCUUCAGCCCGCUGCAUUCUCUUCCUCUCCCCUUCUCCUCUCUACACCCGAAUUGACCAAUCAUCUCCCAACUGCCCAGUUCAGUGCACAGUUUUGGGUUCAAGGCUGACGUCAAGGACAUGGAAUAAAGACAUUUGCAGAGGGACCCUGCACUCAAAAGAGUCCCAACCUUGGUUUAAUGCUCCACUGUUGCUGUCUUGAAAUUCUUUAUAAACUUUGAGUAGGGAUUCUUAAUUUGUCAUUUUGCACUGGAUCCUGCGAAUUAUGUAGCUGAUCCUGUCUGGGUCCUUUAAAAAACAUAAGGUCUGUAAUAGACAUCAUUCAUUGUCUACUCCACACGCAUUCUUCCUCUUUCCCUCCAACAAAAUCCCUUUUUUUUUUUAAGUCAUUGGAGCCCCCUUGAUCACAGGCAGCGGCCCUUCCUCAGCUGCAGAGAAUGAGUCUAAUUAAAACACAAAAUAUUUCCAGCUUAAACUGGUUUUGUCCACUUAAAUAUGUUGUUGAUUAGUCAAACCUGGAGGUUUGUAGACACAGCAUGGCGCAUGUGCAAUAUGGGAACCCAUCCUUCCAGGACGACCCAGAACUGAGAGUUUUUGGUCUAUGGAACUGAGAAGAAUUGUUGCUACCAGUCCUUUCCGAAGUGAGCAGUCCUUAAAUGAGGAAAAUCUGGCUUCCAGAAGCACAAGUAGCUCAUAUGGACUAAUUCAAGAUUAGCCAAUCGGCUUCCAAGUUUGACAUUCUCCUAACCUCUUAAAAAUCCCUCCAACACUGCGUCGCAUAGAUAGGUUUGAGAGCUUUGCUUCGGUCUCUUUGUCCAGCCUCGUGAUAAAGUCCUUUUCUCAAAAGCUAGUACCAUAUUGGCUUCUAUGCACAUCAGGUGGCAAGCCAUUUGCUGGUUAAGAGAUGCUCAAGACUUUUGCUCAGGAAUAGAUGGAACAGUGACUCUGUGGCCUAGAUCUCAUCAAAGAAAGGAAAGUAAAAGCUUCUUCUGGGAAAGUUGCGUUCCUGAAAAAAUAUGAACAGACUCAGCUGGACUGCUCCUUAACCUUUCACUUAUACUCCCUCCUUCUGCUAUGGAUGUGGACACAAUACCUGGAGGUGCAGCAGCCGUCUUGUGACACAAGAAGAGACUCCAACACAUUGUGAAUGGCAGAGAGAAAGGAGCUGGCUCUUUUUCUUUUUUACUUCCAAUUAACUGUUUUGUAAUUGCAGUGACUUCUCGGCAAUGUUUUACACAAAUUCUGUUUGCUCCACUUAUGACAUUCUUUGGCUUUCUUAGCGCCAUGUUGGCAGACUUUCUGAUUCCUUCUCAUGUUCCUCUCCUUAGCUGAGUCCUUGACGGUGGAGUUUGGCAGGAUUUAGUGGUUCAUUCUUUUGUCCAUUGUGAGCUAUUUUCUGAGUACUCUUGUGCUAAGGGCAGCAGAUGCAGCCAUGGAGAUAGAUGUGGUCCUUGCCUUCAUGAAGCUUCCAUUCUAGUCUAGCCCACUUCCCCAACUGCUGUCUACAACUACUGUCCACACUUCUGGAAAAUCUCAUUUACUUCCUCGGCUUUACCACGUGGGGCUGUUCUAUUCUGAUGCAAGACUUCACGCUGAGUUAUCCAGCUAAUCAACAGUCAACAGAUCUCCUAGAAAAAAAGAAGAAGAAGAAGCUGAACUGCUUUUGGUGAGUCAGUCAUGAGAGAAUUUUUUACUUCGUCUUCCCAGCCAAGAUAUAAAGAGCAGACAUAAAAGAGUUGGCCACCUUUUCUCAUACCUAAGCACCAACUUUAUUUUUCUGCAGCACUCACACGUGUUAGGGGAUUCUAGGGCAGUAAACUCCCCUGACAGAAUCCUGCCAUAUGUGGAGAUUUUCUUUUCUUUCCCAUAAAAGGUGUUGAAAGUUCCCAUCAGGUUUAACAGUUAUUGGACUCUCAGUACUGCCAGCCCCUCACCCCAGCACAGACUGCGACAGAAAAUGAGAGGCACUAGGAAGUGAAAAUGUGUCAGAUUCCCCCAGAUCACUAGGGAAGGAAGGCUGCUACUAUUGAUAAUAGCCUUUUAAAAAAAAAUGCUUCAUGUGGGAAAAGUUUAAAAUGAAAAAGCUAAGAAUAAAAUGGCAACACACUAAUUUAACUUAUGAGGAUGUUAGUGGGGGAUUUGACCUAAGGCUAUAGUUCAAGUGACAGAGGUCCAUAGAUAUAGGUCGUUUAUUUUAAAAAUGGGGAAAACAUUAUUGGUUGCUAUCCGUGUAAUUCACUGCGUUCUUAAAGGAGAAACACUAUGUGAUCAUCUUGAUAGAUGCCUGAAAAGUACUUGUUAAACUCAAUGACCAUUCCUAAUAAAUAUACUUAGCCAGGAAUAAAAGGAAAGCCCUUAAUUUAUAAAGGAUAUAUAAAAACCCCACAACAGGGGAGUUCCUGCAGUGGCACAGUGGGUUAAUGAUCUGGCUUGUCUCUGUGGUAUUGCUGGUUUGAUCCCCAGCCUAGCACAGUGGGUUAAGGAUCCAGUGUUGCUACCGCUGUGGCACAGGUCACACAUGCCGCUCAGAUUUGAUCCCUGGCCCAGGAACUUCCAUAUGCCUUCCACGUGCCAUGGGUGCGGCCAAAAAAAA